CAGUAGCCACGGGAAUACGGAGGGAGCUAGCGUUGUUCGGAAUUACUGGGCGUAAAGCGCGCGUAGGCGGUUACUCAAGUCAGAGGUGAAAGCCCGGGGCUCAACCCCGGAACUGCCUUUGAAACUAGGUGACUAGAAUCUUGGAGAGGUCAGUGGAAUUCCGAGUGUAGAGGUGAAAUUCGUAGAUAUUCGGAAGAACACCAGUGGCGAAGGCGACUGACUGGACAAGUAUUGACGCGGAGGUGCGAAAGCGUGGGGAGCAAACAGGAUUAGAUACCCCUGUAGUCCCUGUCUCUUAUAC
rnacentral:rRNA from 1 species